CUGUUCCUUUUUUUUUUUGUGGAAAGAUUCAGAGACUGUAUCCAGACCUGCCUUACUGUUACCAAUAUAUUCCUUUUUUGAACAGGGAGUUAUUCUACCGUAAACUAAGAUUAUUUUUAUGUAUUUUUUUUUUUUUUAAGGAUACUUCCACUGACAUUCUUAGAGCUGUCAUUUUAUUGUGAGGAACUGCAGUUCGAUCGGAAUAGUUUUUCUGUUUUUGUCCUCUGUUUUGUGAGUGACCCUCUCACUCAGUCAACUCGUCUCAGUGCACAAGUCUCCUCUUCUCCAGACACCGCGUAUGAAUCAGAAUCCGUAGCUAGUUGUGACACGUGAGCCUCUGGAUGAAAAGCAGAGUAUCCCUAAAGCAGCGUGGUCGUAUCAGCCCCCCAUGUUGGACUAAACACUUUCAACUCUACACAAGUGAAAACCCCAAAUCCCUAAAGAUCCUCUAUUUGCCAUACCAGAGGGACAUGAUGUCUGACUCCUUCCUCAACAUGUGGACCUGCCCUGAGGAUGUUGGACAUCACUGUUACACCUUCAGCCUUGUUGAUUUCCUGUCAGACUGGUUGUUUUUCAACUCCAUUACACGGACGGACUGACCUGAACUUUUACCAGAACAGGAACACAAUGUUCAACAGACUCUCCUCACCAGUGUACUGACUACUGAGACUGGUCGUCUUUGAACUCAAGAGGAACACAAUGUUCAACAGACUCCCUCCUCACCAGUGGACUGACUACUGAGACUGGUUGUGAGGUCACAGGAAAUAGAGUGAUCUGUUCGGAGGGAUGCAGGUUUGUAAUCCUGAUUUAGAUGAUGGUUAUAAGGAGAGUUCAGGUCGUAACCAGUCCACUGAGAUGAAUGUAGAUGUCUACACCCUGGCCAAUAUAAAAGGCUUUGGAGAGGUAAUGUAAAGUUUCCAAGGCGGUAAAAUAAUCCCUGAUUGUGUUAAAUAAUGUAUUACAUUCCCUUCAUUACAUUUCCUACAUCACAUUUUGGAAAUACAAUGGUCAUUAAAAAAUAAAAUUAAAAAAAUCUG